ensembl:lncRNA novel transcript
GUGUCUUCAAGGUCAGUAAUUUACAUGUCCUCCUCUCGAGGCUAAGGCAGCCUCUCCUUGCAAAUAGGAAGUUUUUGCUUGAUCGUGACCUUGGGAAAAAGGAAGCAAAGGAGGAAUGACUCCUUUUAUGAGCUUUCUGGAGAUAUUUGUUCUAAGAACCUUCUCAGUAUUCCCCGUACCUUUGGUGACUCUGAAUAAGGAAAGCGAGCAAGCAGUGAAGAGAGAGGAGCUGGUUGCGGGAGAAAUUCCUGAAUGAACACAGAGAGGACUUUAGCAACGCAUUCGGCCUUGGAGAAGAUAAAGGAGGAAAUUUUCUAAGGUGGGGAGGACCUUUCCUCACGUCUGUCCUAGACAAGGCCACAGGCUGCAGGGCUGCGUCUCUGCCAACUGUGACAAGAACAGCCUCUUCCAGUCUACGGGAUGCAAUACUUUGUCCAAUAUUCAGUUAACAGGGCAUUCGAAAUCUAGCUGAGUGACUGCUGAGCCAGGGCGCGAGGUCCUGGGCCUUGGAGCCCAGGUGGCCUGGGCGGUGCGGCUCCUCGCGCUGCUGCCUCAGGCUCUCACCUCCCUCUAGCGGCCGCCAAGGACAUCACACACGCCGAGCGGAAGCCCUGCUGGGCGGUGCUGCCGGCUCCAACCCCGGAAAGGCCACGUCCGAGAGAGCUCACCUACUUUCUCCUGGAGGGGCUGCGGUGGGGGCCUGCACAAGAAAGUGGCCUUACUCCCAAUAGCGGAAAUGGAGUUUCCCUUGUUUCACUUAAAAAUACAAUGGAAAAAAAUGCCUCUGUACAACAGCCUAAGCUGACAGUUGAUGUCUAACCCUGGGCUGUACUCACCACUAAACACUGAUAGAUGUUGUCAUUUUCAUGCUAAAGAAACCCCACUCACCCCAAAUAAUUUGUCAAAGAGUACUCAUGUAGACAGCAAGUUUUGGAAGGUGGAGAUGCUUAUCUGUCUUCUGUGAUGUGCCUGUGCCUGAUAGCUAGUAAAUAAGUUUAAAUGAAUUGACAUUGAAAUACACUACAGGCUUGGAAUUAAAAACAAAGAAGAAACCUAUUCCUACCCUCAGAGAAUGACCACUUCAUCGCAGAGGAGAUGAUGGCUGAAGUGCUUAUGCUCAUCAACGACUGUGGAAUUGGGUCUUGGAAUUUUAGUUCCUCUGUUAAACUUAGGAAAUGGAUGGCUGGAGGUCUGCGCCAGCCGAUGAGGGAUUGAUACACCUGAGAUUGCUUUACAAAACACUGCUUUUAGUGUUUAAUGACACAGGAUAGUGUCUACAGCAG